UUUGGAGAAAAAAAUUCCAUCAUUGUGCUAUUGAACCUUGGUAUGUCUUGGUUCCGCUUCAGGGUUCAUUUUGUACAUUGAUUAAUAUCAUUGCGAAGAACAAGACACUUUGAAGCUCUCUCUCUAUAUAUAUUCUUAGGCUAUGUAGUUGAUACCUUUCUUACUUGAUGGAUUUAUAUAGUUUCAUUCUCUCCAUAGGUAAAUUGUGUAAAUCAUAUAGUAUUUUUGUAGGUGACAAAUUUGUGGGUUCACAUGAGUCCGUGAUUUGUGAUCAGAUUCCUUUUCGUGCUAUGAGGGUAGUAGCUGUAAUAUUUUUGUAAAUAUUAUUCUUUUAUUUGAUAGUAGGUCCAAUAACUUGCUAAUACAAGCUUCAGGUCUGACAGAUCUAAAAAAAUAUGUUUCUCUAUCUGUAUUUUUCAAUGUGAUCGGUUCCCCUAUUAGGUUAAAGUUUAUAAGAUAAUUUUUGUUACUCCAUUUACUUUGUAUGUUAGUUUCUUAUUGUAUGUCUGUUGUUCCGCCAACAGAGGAGCGCCGGGGAGAGAACCCAUUGGAUGCAGAAGCGUGAAGGAGUCCAUACGGUGCAGGCUGGUCAACCGUGAGGUUAGUAGCAUGCAAACUACUGGCUAGCUCUUGUGAUAAGUGAGACGUUUCAGUUAACUCCUUGUUCAUGCAAGCUAAUCUAACGGAUUACUUGCUAGCUACAUAUAUAUGACUUGUGUACACAUAGUCUGGAUGCUAUGUAUGGGAAAAUGAAAUAAAACAAUAUAUAAAUAUGUGAAUCUGUGCCUCUUAUUUAUUUUUUAUUGAGAGCAUGGCAGGAGCUCUAUCGAUUUUCUUAAAGAUAGGAAAAAGAAACAAAAUACUUAGUUCCUUGGUUUAUGUCUUUUUAUUUUAUUUUACCAUUUUCUCAGUGUGUUAUGAGUCGUCGUUGCCCAUACAGUUGUGGUUUCGUAAACCAAAAUAACGCUUUGCCUCUGUGUGGUGCCUCGACACAUCAUAUAUACAUGGAUAGUGAAAUCUUAGGUCUACCUUAUUCACGUAGUUAUUCGCAAAAAAAACAAUCUUAUCAGCAGGUGAGACUCAACACAUGCUUGGUUGAGUAACCAUAGAGUCACCAAUUUAGUCUAUGUAUUCUUACACUGGCCAUACAACAAAAAAAUGUGUGUUCAUUGACCGGUUUUGUUCGAAAUAAAAAAUUGUACCUCGUAUCUUAAAACUGACCGUCGAUUGCUUCUCAUUUUUAUUGUUUCCAAUAAUGUUAUUUUUGCAUCUUUAUGUUGGCAUGUGUGCCUGUAUGUUCCUUUGCUGCUCAUUUAUCAAUCACAUAUUUAUGUUUUCUCUAUACCAUUUCCAAACACUCAUGUUUACCAUACUGUCGUGAGAAUUUUUGGCGGAAUAAUUCUUGAUAUUAUCUUGGAAUUCCUAGAGCUAUUUAUCGGAGGAGGAUGUACUCGCAUAACACAAUGACUGUCACGAUGCUUUCCUACCGGAGAAAGAUGCACACAUUUGAGUAUUUCUGUUAGCCAUCAUGGUAAACAAAUGUUUGUUGUUUCCUUUGUUUAUUUCCAUUGGCAAAACAUUGCUUAUCAAUGAUUGGAACUAUGCUUCCAGCAGUAUCACUUGCCAUGAUGAGCUACACCAUUGAUUCUCAUUUUGUGUACUUAUCAAGGCUGCUAUCUGAUUUUUUCACUUCCCUUUUGUAGUCUUUUGUAUGCCUUGCUUUUGGUACUAUACUCUCCAGCUGCCUUUUGUAGUGUGCUACUUGGUUUUCGGUCCCUUUCUUUGUAAAUGACUUGCCCUAAUUAUUACCAAUGAUAUUUAGACUUGUGGGAUGUGUUGCUUUGUAUAUGAACAACUUGCUGUAAUCCCGAUCCUGUAUCAUUCCUUUUUACUCAUAUAGGUUUUGUUUUCUACAACCUCUGUUUGCAUUACAACUUCGAAAUAUAUAGGAUGUGGUAUGAUUACAAUUACGAUUAGCACUGAUUGCGUGGGUAUGGCAAAGGCGACAACAAUUUUUAGUAUCACCCUUUUUUGAUUUUUAUGUCAUGUUGAUUACAUCCGGUCAUUGCAUUCACUGGGAGGAGACAUUGCGCUAUGCAUGACACCCAGUCUGGCCAGCCUUUGCAACUGUCAGCAACCUAUUUGUUCUUCUCCUUAGCCAGACCCGAUUCUUCGACUGGUUUAACUUGCAUAGUAGUUCUGUUUAGAUUACAGUUUUAGAUUCCUCCACUCUUUGCUAUGAUUAGGUUAAUUUCUAACAAAUGGGAUGAUGAUCAGGAUGAAUACUAUUUUGGUAUUGCUACCAUUAUGGUUCCACUCAUGAAUAAUUGAAAAUAACGGGAUGAUCCAUCGCAAGCAAUCAUUCUAAUUCCUAUUUGGCAACCUUGAAUACCCCGAUGUGUUUCGAUUUGGUAGGCUUGGUUCCCUCCCUGAUUGUGUGCAUCAUCAUGGUGUUUGCUUGUUGUUCUAAAGUUUCAACUGUAUGGCUACUAUUGGGUUGGCUUCUUAUAAGUUAUGGGAGAGAGUGAGAGUGUGGGCUUGGUCAGGGAGAUCUCUUUUAUUUAUUUGCUGGUACCUGAUAGUUUUUCAUGUUCCCUUGUGAGAUCUUAGUGAAAAUAAUGAUUUUAUUUGCUGUGCGGGCGGGCGGGUGCAGAGAAGAAGAACCUCAACUCGGAGCUCUUGUUUCUUCUUAGUAUAUAUGUACAAAUUAUAAAUAUAAUAAAUAUAUGUGUCCUUUUUUCCUCUUUCUCUCCUCUGGUUUUACCGCCAAACUGGGUGGCCUUGAUGAAUGAUGUUGGCUUAUUUUAGAGAAAAUCUUUCUAAAUAAAUACUUGAUAAAUGAUGUUGGUUUAUUUUAGAGAGAAUCUUUCUAAGUAAAUAUACACUGAAGAGAGGUUUCAAUUUCCUAAUAGUACAUGUUCAAAUUGUUGUUGUAUGUGACCUUAGAUAGAAGGAUGUGCACUUGUGAUUAUCCCUUUCCCUUUUUGUAUCAGAGCUUUGUGCCAAAAAACUGCUUUGGUGCCGAGACAAUUACCUUGCAACAUUAAUCUUGGCUGAAAUUGUGCACCUUUACUAGAUCAAUCAUGUUUGUCAGUGUUAAAUAAUUAGGCACAUAAUAAGAUGAGAUCAUAGUGUAAUCAAGUUUUGUGCCUAAAGAAAAUCUUGGAGGAUAUCUAUGUAUAGUAGGCUUAUUAUGUUUUCUGGGUGCCUUGUGGAAUACUAAGAUAAAAUAAAUUUAAUUUCAUUUUUAUAUUCUUUUAUGUUAAAGAGGCUACAUUGUAUCCAGAUCACUUAAUAUUAUCCAAAGUGAUUCUCUUUCAUACAGACCAAAUUAGUUCCUCGCUGUCCAUGAGACACACUAUUUGAAUAUUUUGCCUAACAUGACAUGUCCUUUAGCAGAUCCAUGCGUUGAAACAUGCAAGCAAAUCAAAUGAAGGAGUGUGGACAAAGUUAUAUAUCAAGCAAAUCGGAUGAAGGCGUGUGGACAAAGUUAUAUAUCUAACAGUCAACCAUGUAGUUUACUAUUAUGCAGUAUGAAAAAUAGUGUAAACAAGUUAUCUGAGACUAAUACUGCUACGGCCUGCUUUUGGUUUCUAUCAUACCAAACCUUGCUUAGGUAUUUCAUGUCACAUUUUAUAACAAAUGCGCUGAUGGCAUGUAGAUAGGGCCAUUUUUUAGAUAUUUUACAGGAUGAUUACUGUUGUGAGUAUCUACCAACACCUACUCUUUGAGUAAUAUCAGAUAUAUUUCUAUCCUGAGAUAUAGAGUAAUAUCAGAUGUUAAUCGGAAAAGAGUUAUAUCAGGGGUUUGAUCAUUGAACUUUUUUUAUUCCAUCCUGAUUAAGUUGUCCUGUACAUGUGUUAAACUUGCCUUUCUAC
rnacentral:lncRNA from 1 species